rnacentral:misc_RNA from 1 species
UGGCGAGAUAUCACUGACCCACAUUGCGUCGGUGCGACAGCUUGCAGUUCGACAAUUUUCUUUCAUUUUUAAAUAAUUGCUGCAUGGUGCACAUCGGGAACACGUGGAAUAUAUAUUAGGAAAAGUAUUGACGUUUGGUGCUACUAUAACAACGUGUAUUAAACAUUCCAAAUAUGGCUCCUCGGCAUUUCUUCAUCUCUACCAUCCUGGCAGUUGUGGUUACCAUAGCAAUGGCUAAAAUCCCAAUUAAUAAACAUCUGAAAGUUGUCACUAUAGAGACUGAACCAUGGAUGAUGAUUGACCCCAACAAGACAGGUUUGGCUGCCUAUUCUGGGUACAUGGCUGACUAUGUCAGAAGACUGAGUGAUAUAACUGGCUUUUCAUAUGAGUUCUACCCAGCUCCUGAUGGUCGAUAUGGCAGUAAGAAUGAAACAACUGGUGAAUACGAUGGCAUGAUUGGAGAAGUGAUAAAAAAGAAUGCCCACUUUGCGGCUGGACCUAUUUCCAUAACAUCACACAGAGAGAUUGGUGUGAACUUUGUCCAACCCUUUGUCCAUACUGGGAACACCAUUUUAAUACGUAAGCCCAGCAAGGCAGAGGUUGGAGCAUCACGUUUGACUGGAUUCACAGUUCUUCAACCAUUCUCAACUGGACUUUGGUUGAUAUCAAUUGCAGCAUUUUUCCUUACUGCUUUGUUUCUGUGGUUGUUGAACAAUUACGACCCAUAUGAGUAUGGUGUCCGUGCAACACUUGGUCACGCAACUGAAAGAGAGGCUGAAACGUUUGGAAUCCAGGGCUCACUGUGGUAUGCUUUCACCACAUUACAAUGGCAAGGAUUUGAACGAUCACCCCAUUCUGUCGCAGCUAAGGUUCUCUCUGGAUUCUGGUUUGUGUAUGUCACACUUACACUAUUGACAUACACAGGAAGUCUCGUCAACUGUCUAUCAAUCAUUGGAGCAGCACCACCCCCUCAACGUCACCACAUCAUCAACAGCAUAGAGGAGUUAUUUUCCCAGAAUCCACUUAAGGUUGAUUUUGGAUGGUUAAAAGGUGGAGCCACCGAUAGUUAUUUCCAGAAUAAAAGGGGACCUAUGUAUGAUGUAGUAAGAGCAUAUAUCGAUCAGACUAAUAAUACAGUCGCAACAGUUGAAGAGGGCUUAAAACGCGUCCGUGAGGAAAAUUAUGCUUUUAUCGUGGAAUUAUCCUUUGCAAAGACAUAUAUAAAUCAGAAACCAUGUAAUUUGAUAACUGUAGGAGACACAUUCAGUAAAAGAGGAUAUGGCAUUCCUAUAGGGCAUGAAAUUAGUGAUGAAAUAUUGGAACCAUUCCAUCAAGCCACAUUGGAAAUGAAUCAAAAUGGUGAGUUUGACGCUCUAGAGAGGAAGUGGUUUGUCGAUCGUGGCGAUUGUUGGAGUGAAAAUGCUAAUGCUGAAGGAAUGCUCAAACCUGCUGAGACAACCUGGUUCACCCAGGGUAAGGGAGCACAGGGUGUCAUUCCGAUCACUAUACCCAUGUUCUGGGGGCCACUCACAAUUCUGUGUUGUGGAAUGGUCAUUGCAGCUGCCGCUUUCAUUGGAGAAGUUCUAUAUUAUAAAUAUAAAGGGAGAUAUGACACCAGAGGGGGACCUAGAGAUCAGUUAAAUGAUAAUCUGACUGAGAAUGACGACAAUGACAAGAUAUAGAACAUUCCUGAAUAUAUCAACUCUGAGUUACAGCUGUUUAGAGGGGAGGUUGUAUGGAGAAUUUUUAGUAUGGAUAACUCAUAGUAUAAUAGUGUUUAGUAUUGCGCACAUAGAACAGAAGUUGUUUGGAGUAGAAAAUCAAAUCUGUUUUGAAGUUCACAUAAUAUGAUAUCGAAAUAUUAUCAGGGAUUAUCUGACAAUAUAAGAUGUAGUAAGCAGGAUUGAUAUCUUUUUUGGUUUCCAUUUUGAAGAAUAAUACAGUAAAACCUAUACAUGUAUAUAGUGAACAGCUAUGGAGCCACAAAAAGUGUUCACUGUAGUGCUCACUAGAGAAAGGUAGGGGUCAAAUGGUUCAAAAUUCCAAUGGUUCGGUUCGGUCACGGUUUUAAGGUCCACGGUUCUGUUCGCGG